UACGGUAGGGGGCAAGCGUUGUCCGGAUUUAUUGGGCGUAAAGAGCGUGUAGGCGGCUUGGUAGGUCCGCUGUGAAAACUCGAGGCUCAACCUCGAGAUGUCGGCGGAAACCACUUGGCUAGAGUCCGGAAGGAGGAGAGUGGAAUUCCUGGUGUAGCGGUGAAAUGCGCAGAUAUCAGGAAGAACACCUAUGGCGAAGGCAGCUCUCUGGGACGGUACUGACGCUGAGACGCGAAAGCGUGGGGAGCGAACGGG
rnacentral:rRNA from 1 species